UAGGGUUUAGAAUUUUUCUUCGCCGCACCUGCGGCAGAGCCUAGCACUGGGAUUUAUCCUUCUUAGCUCACUUUCAAGUUUGAGAUGUGAUGAAGAACAAAACCAUGGAUUGCUUGGUCGUUCUCGUGAUCAUCAAGCAAGAUGAUUCGUUACAUAUGGUUCGUAUUCACUGAGCAUUGAUUUGAUUAUUCUCUUUUCUGAUAAACGAAGGACCUAUGGAGGAAGCGCCAUGAUUCAGUGUGCUUUUGUCCAAGUUUGCCUUCGGAAAUAGUACCGAAGUCUGAUCGCUCACCAAUUGCCUUAUUCAUUGGUGAGAUUAACGUUCUUAUUUGAUUUUCGUACAUUUUUAUGCAAUCUUUUAUUCUUCUCGAAGAAGAACGCGAAGGUCCCAGCAGGGGAGCUAUAUACUCUUACAGUGAGGCUCCUCUAACAAUAGAUUUCGCAACCCUUCGCAGAUCUAAUAGCCGAAUCGUAGGAUGCUCAAAAUGUUUUGAUUUUUGGUGCAUCCGGAACCCUCGGCUAAAUGUUAAGCUCUAAUUUACACAUACUAGGUUGACAUUGUUUUCAGUUCAAUUUCUCGACACUUUUUUUUUUGUUUUAGACUUCAGAUGUUUGUUUCACGAGCAUCAGUGAUGAAUAGUUUAAAUUGUUAUCCUUGCACUAUGAUUGCCAGUGAAGAAUCUUAUGGGGAAUGAUUAUUCUGAGAUGCUUUUCAUAUGUGAAAUAUUACUCUAAAUGGCAAAGCUUUUGCAGAGUAAAUGUCAAAUAUUUUUUAUAUUUUUCUUAUGUAUCUAUCUCUACUAAGCUCAAUAGGUAAACCAGCUAUUGGUUUGAAUUCAGCAUUAUGCUAGUUAUUUAUUCAGGUUUAAGAUUUAGCUUAUUCGUCUGUUUUAUUGAUCUUUCUAUGUUUCGGUUUAUGUUUACAUUUGCUCAGUUUUUCUGUGGUAAGGAUCUAUGAUGCUAUGUUGAAACUGCGUUAUCUAUCUGAAUUCCUAAAAAGGAAUUGAAGAUAAUGAUAAUAUGCUGAGAUCUUAGUGGCAAUUAGUAGCAGUGUUAUUUGUAUUUUUGCUGUUCUACUUCGCCUAAUGCUGAAUCAUUUGUUGGAAUUACUUUUCUGCCCCACCAGGGCCAUCACCGAAUUUUUCUAGGCUGAGCAGGGUAAGAUUUCAAUUUUUUGACCCCUCACUACACUGUUCUCAAGCCAAGUUGCCAGAUAUUUUCAUGAUCAUAACUUAUGUUUGUUAGGACUUUUGGUGAUUUGGCUAAAAUUAUUUAAGUUUUAUAUUUUUGGUUUCUUCUCAUCUGAUUUCUCAAACAAUUCAUCUCGCAUUGUUGGUUUGGAUAUGCACAUUUUUUAGCGUCAAGGAUUUCUGGACAAUUGUGUUUGAGGUCAUCAUGAAGAUGCAUUUAUAGGUUCUUUCUUUGAUUUAGCUUUGACUUCUAAGUUUUAAGUCGUUUGUUUAAUUGUAUUGUUGAUCUUUCAUCUUUCUUUGUGCUCAGGAUUUUCUGUAUUUUUAUUUCCAGUGCUAAGGAUCUAUGAUGCUAUAUUGAAACUGCGUUAUCUUUCUGAAAGUUCCAGAAAGGAAUUGAAGAUAUUUAUAGUAUUUUGAGGUCAUGCUAGUACCUAUAAAUAUUAGGGAUAUAAUUAGUUAUUUAUUUAUGUAUAUGUUUUCGGCUUUUGUAUUUUACAUUGCCUUGCAAUUGGCACCUAUAAAUGUUAGUGAUAUGAUCUUAACCAGUAUUAACGAGAAAUUGGAUCCAACGACUAGUUUCAAGGAUCCAAUUUCUUGGGUCUUUCUUGAUCAUUUCUCAAGAAAGAAUUCCCUCCCCUUCCUUUCUGACCCCCUUUCCCCUUUUUUUUUCCUUCCUUCUAAUCAUUAAAGAUCUGAAUGGUUUAUAUUUAAUCUCUUGUAAAAAUUUGUAUUAAAAUGAUGAAUGAUAAAAUCAGAUAAAUAAGAAAAUUGAAGCUGCUAAAGUUUAAUCUCAACAGUUUGACUUUGCCAUAUAGGUAAAAUAAAAAUAAUAUUUUUAAAAAUGUCAAAUCUGAAACCAUUUUUUAAGUAGAGUAGAAAUGUUCCAUUCUACAAUUCCAGAACAAAAAAGCAAGGCAAGAUAAAAAGUGCACAAAAACAAAACCCAAAGAACACACUCCACCUAGAGAACCCUAACUCUUAACUGGAAGCCAUGCCAGUGACAACAAAGCCGUUAUAAAGAGUGGAACAAUCCUUCAUCAGUAAAGAUGCAACCAAAAUUGUUAAAAGAGGAGUCAUGUGAGGAUUCCAUGAUAGUAGAAAAAUCCAUGGAUGCCAGUGAACUAGCUAAAGCGGGAGGAGAAAGAAGACAAACCCACCAAUGAUGGGUUAUCAGAAACCUUUGAUUGGCAUCGGCAGAAGUUAUGCUUCCUCCAAAACCGUGAGAAGGUGUCCAGAUUCUUUGCAGUUUUCUUGGUCUCUUGUGAUGAAAGCGUGACCCUAAAGUCCUGGCUUUCGGAGAUUCCUAACAUGCAAGAAGCUUCUUGAAAGAUGGGGGUGUGAUCUUUGUUUCUUGGUCUCUAGCCUGACCUCUUUCUCUGUCUUCGAGUUUCUACUAUAGUUGGGUGUGAAAUUAGAUGUACAGGAGUUGCAAUUUUUCAAAUGAAUAGACAGUUUGAGUUGAACUUUCUGUGAAUUGAGAAUCCCAAGAGAUUUUCUGUGACAGAGAAGUUGAAGGUGGAGAUGAUGGAGAUUCACUAUGUGACCUUUGUAAGAGGUGGUGGUAAAGAUCACUUUUCUGAGCUCGAUCAUCUGUAUUUGCUUAGCCACCAAUGCUUUAAUUAUUUGCAUUUUCUUCUCCUAUUGUUCGAGCCUACACAUGUUUGUGUACUAAUACGAUUAAUAUGCUUGAUUUGUAAAUUUAAUCAACUCUUGUGAUUACUGAAAAGUGAUAGUGAUACCUUUAAACAUGUUAAAAA